rnacentral:rRNA from 1 species
AUUGAACGCUGGCGGCAUGCCUUACACAUGCAAGUCGAACGGCAGCACGGGAGCAAUCCUGGUGGCGAGUGGCGAACGGGUGAGUAAUGUAUCGGAACGUGCCCAGUCGUGGGGGAUAACGCAGCGAAAGCUGUGCUAAUACCGCAUACGAUCUAUGGAUGAAAGCGGGGGAUCGCAAGACCUCGCGCGAUUGGAGCGGCCGAUAUCAGAUUAGCUAGUUGGUGGGGUAAAAGCUUACCAAGGCGACGAUCUGUAGCUGGUCUGAGAGGACGACCAGCCACACUGGACAUGAGACACGGUCCAGACUCCUACGGGAGGCAGCAGUGGGGAAUUUUGGACAAAGGGCGCAAGCCUGAUCCAGCAAUGCCGCGUGCAGGAUGAAGGCCUUCGGGUUGUAAACUGCUUUUGUACGGAGCGAAAAGGCUCUCUCUAAUACAGGGGGCUCAUGACGGUACCGUAAGAAUAAGCACCGGCUAACUACGUGCCAGCAGCCGCCGUAA